GAUGAACGCUGGCGGCGUGCCUAAUACAUGCAAGUCGAGCGAACAGAUAAGGAGCUUGCUCCUUUGACGUUAGCGGCGGACGGGUGAGUAACACGUGGGUAACCUACCUAUAAGACUGGAAUAACUCCGGGAAACCGGGGCUAAUGCCGGAUAACAUUUAGAACCGCAUGGUUCUAAAGUGAAAGAUGGUUUUGCUAUCACUUAUAGAUGGACCCGCGCCGUAUUAGCUAGUUGGUAAGGUAACGGCUUACCAAGGCAACGAUACGUAGCCGACCUGAGAGGGUGAUCGGCCACACUGGAACUGAGACACGGUCCAGACGCCUACGGGAGGCAGCAGUAGGGAAUCUUCCGCAAUGGGCGAAAGCCUGACGGAGCAACGCCGCGUGAGUGAUGAAGGUCUUCGGAUCGUAAAACUCUGUUAUUAGGGAAGAACAAAUGUGUAAGUAACGGUGCACGUCUUGACGGUACCUAAUCAGAAAGCCACGGCUAACUACGU
rnacentral:rRNA from 1 species